UGACAACAUUUGAAAAUUCAAAAUAAUAGUUCAAGUGACAUUCGAUCUUAUGUCAAGGAUUCUGAGAUAUUGAUGCAUAUAAAUACGCGUUGUUCUGAUAAAAUAUAUUCAUUACAUUCUACAAAGUAUCGCAAGAUUACAUCUCUGUACAAAUCUGUUUAAUAAGUUUUUCCGAAGAUGUCAAAGCUUAUGAUCUUACUUCUUUUGGUGGCAUUGUUAGCGGCUGUGACAAGCGCCCAGUUGCGUGAUGUGUGCUCCACAAAAGGUGAAUCGUGUUGGUCUGAAGUGUGUUGUGAGGGAACAACUUGUAGCGAAUCUAUGAGAUGUGUAUAAAUCAAAAUUUCCUUUUAAAUUUCACAAUUGUAUAUGGAAUUUUAUUUUUGAGUAAAAAUUUAACACUGAUAUUCUGUAUGAUUUUUUUAAUCAACUAAUAAAUUAAAUUUAUGAUAAAAUAUUUUCAAUGCCUAAAUUUUUGACUUCCCGCUAAGAAAAUUGAAAAUUUUCAAAAAUUCGAGACGUUUUUGUUCUCUUCCUGAUUCUCAAAAAUCAAAUUUUCGUCAGAUGUUGUUCGAAGGUCCUUGGAUGCUAUUUUAACAUUUUCAGAGAGAUGUCUGUAUAUGUGUGAGUGCGUGUGUGUGUUAGUGUAAACGUUCUAUAUUUUUUAAACAACUGGAGAAAUUUAGAUCUUGUUUUUAAAUUUAAAAAGUUGAAAAAUCAAAGAAUGUAAUUUUUAAUAAAACUAAUAAAUAAAUUUCUUAAAGGCCUUCGACAAUAAUUUUUAAUUUAUUAUCCAUUAUUUAUGUUAAUUGCAUUUUCCUUGAAAUGUAGACCUAAUUAAUUUUAUCGAUAAACUCAUAUCGGGAACGCACUGAGUGUUACUAAUCAUAGAAGACAUUCAAAUUAUAUUGUCAGCCACAUAGAAAUUUAUUUGUUUACGUAUUAAUUUGCUAACCUUCUUAAAAAAAAAAAAAAAGAAUAACAAGGUUGGCAAUUCGUUUGUGUCUACUAACACAAUAAUCCAAUGGCCUAUAAAAAGAGCGGAUUCUUCAUUUUUUUACACUAAACUUGCGGCUUCAUUAUACAUCGACAAAGCUCUCCACUAUUUUGUUUUUCCGAAAAUGUCAAAGCUCAUGAUCUUACUUCUUUUGGUGGCAUUGUUAGCGGCUGUGACAAACGCCCAGUUGCGUGAAGUGUGCUCCACAAAAGGUGAAUCGUGUUGGUCUGAAAUAUGUUGUGAGGGAACAACUUGUAGCGAAGGUAUGAGAUGUGUAUAGAUCAAGAUUUCCUUUUAAAACUUCACAAUUGUGUUUCGAAUUUUAUUUUUGAGUAAAAAUUUAACAAUGACAUUCUGUAUGAUUUUUAAAACAAACUAAUAAAUUGAAUUUAUGAUAAAAUAUU